rnacentral:siRNA from 1 species
GCAACGUUAGGGAGUCCGGAG